AUAAGCUGGCCGCCCAUCUUGGAGCAACAAAGGAGAAGAAGAAACUCCAUUUUCUUGCUUUUUACUCUUAGUUUAAUCUUAGGAAAAAAAAAUUAAAAGUGAAGGAGUGAGUCACUGAGUGAAAUCCAUCCAACUCUAGUGUGUGAUCUUCAAGCCUUGAAGCUUUUGGUUGGUGGUUAUUUUGGGUGACUUAAUCAACUUGUAAGAGAGGGUUUCUUGGUGAUUAAAGCUAGUUUGAAGUGAAAACUUUUGACGUAUCUGUACUUGAACCGGGGACAAACUUGAAAAUCACGGUUUUGGAAGAAAAGGGUCAAGCUAGUAUAUAUGUCAUGUUGUUAAACUCUUUUGAAAAUGAAGCCCUAAUUGUGUUUUGUGUAGUAUGAGUACCUCGGAUCGCACUGUAUGUUAAUUUGUUCAAGAUUUCAAUGUAAAUAUAUGUAUAAGUGUUUAACCUUGUCUAUUAAA